AGUGAACGCUGGCGGUAGGCCUAACACAUGCAAGUCGAACGGCAGCACAGGAGAGCUUGCUCUCUGGGUGGCGAGUGGCGGACGGGUGAGGAAUACAUCGGAAUCUACUCUGUCGUGGGGGAUAACGUAGGGAAACUUACGCUAAUACCGCAUACAACCUACGGGUGAAAGCAGAGGAUCUUCGGACCUUGCGCGAUUGAAUGAGCCGAUGUCGGAUUAGCUAGUUGGCGGGGUAAAGGCCCACCAAGGCGACGAUCCGUAGCUGGUCUGAGAGGAUGAUCAGCCACACUGGAACUGAGACACGGUCCAGACUCCUACGGGAGGCAGCAGUGGGGAAUAUUGGACAAUGGGCGCAAGCCUGAUUCAGCCAUACCGCGUGGGUGUAGAAGGCCUUCGGGUUGUAAAGCCCUUUUGUUGGGAAAGAAAUCCAGCUGGCUAAUACCCGGUUGAGAUGACGGUACCCAAAGAAUAAGCACCGGCUAACUUCGUGCCAGCCGCCGCCGUAA
rnacentral:rRNA from 1 species